GUGGCAAUUGCGGCAGCUACACAUGCAGUCGGACGGUAGCACAGAGAGAGCUUGCUCCUCGGGUGACGAGUGGCGGACGGGUGAGUAAUGUCUGGGAAACUGCCCGAUGGAGGGGGAUAACUACUGGAAACGGUAGCUAAUACCGCAUAACGUCGCAAGACCAAAGUGGGGGACCUUCGGGCCUCACACCAUCGGAUGUGCCCAGAUGGGAUUAGCUUGUAGGCGGGGUAACGGCCCACCUAGGCGACGAUCCCUAGCUGGUCUGAGAGGAUGACCAGCCACACUGGAACUGAGACACGGUCCAGACUCCUACGGGAGGCAGCAGUGGGGAAUAUUGCACAAUGGGCGCAAGCCUGAUGCAGCCAUGCCGCGUGUAUGAAGAAGGCCUUCGGGUUGUAAAGUACUUUCAGCGGGGAGGAAGGUGUUGAGGUUAAUAACCUCAGCAAUUGACGUUACCCGCAGAAGAAGCACCGGCUAACUCCGUGCCAGCAGCCGCGGUAAUACGGAGGGUGCAAGCGUUAAUCGGAAUUACUGGGCGUAAAGCGCACGCAGGCGGUCUGUUAAGUCAGAUGUGAAAUCCCCGGGCUUAACCUGGGAACUGCAUUUGAAACUGGCAGGCUUGAGUCUCGUAGAGGGGGGUAGAAUUCCAGGUGUAGCGGUGAAAUGCGUAGAGAUCUGGAGGAAUACCGGUGGCGAAGGC
rnacentral:rRNA from 1 species